GUGAAAUCAACCCCAAAGCAAACAACAUAAAUCCACAAAUACAUGUCCAUGAGAUCGGCCUCCGCGACUGCGGCGGCGGCGGCGACGCCCCAUACGACGGCGACUGGAAACAAGAAAACACAAAAUGCUGCUUGUGCUGAUGAUGCACCGCCGCAGCCAGAUUAGAAAACAACCCACCACUAUAUUUCCACAGUUUGGCCAAACCCAUUUGUAAAGCCACUAGC
rnacentral:misc_RNA from 1 species